rnacentral:lncRNA from 1 species
GGGGUCUCCAGUGGAAAUACAAUAAGGAAUGAUAAAGACUUCAGUAAAGUAGACUUUCAAAAUCACCAUGCUUAAAGAGUACUGAAGAAAAAUAAUCUUAAAAGUCAGACUUUCACUUAUAAGGAUUAGGCUCUUGAGAUAAAAAGGCUCUCUGAUUUGCAGGUGUAUUCUAUAAACUUCAAGAACAAGAAUCUAGAGAAAUCCAAGCUGUAAGAUGUGUGUAGGAAUGGAUGUGAAAGCAGUUUUUCAGACUGAAAUGAGUGACAUCUCAAGGAACUUUGCACACAUUGGAUAUUUUCUGUGUGGACCUUUGGGCUCUAGACUCACGGGUGUACAAGCAUGGCUCCAGCAUCUGCUUCUGGUGAGGACAUCAAGGAGCUCAACAAUCAUGGCAGAAGUUGAAAGUGGAACAGGCAGGUCACAUGUGGAAGCAAAAAAAAAAGAAAGAAAGAAAGAAAGAAAUACAGUAGACAAGCCAAAAUAAUUUGCAUAAAACACAAUGGAAAGUGGCUGAGAAGAGGACAAUUUAGAAAAAUGAUCUCUCCAGGAACGCUGCCAAGGUAAGUAGCAGUAGAUAUUGAUUAUAUAGACCUGUCAUGGAUCGGUUUAACCAGUCAUUCUGAAAAUUGAAUUGGAUUUUUCUUUCUGAAAUGAUGUUUUUGAAGCUGUGCCAAAUGCAACCUCUCUCCCCACCCAUUCUGGUUUGUGUCUGCUUUUCAAAGUUAAUACUGCUCAGAUAUUUAUAAUGUUGGUCACAGAAAAGUCUUUCUCUAUGCCCAGAGCAAACUGACUACGUUACAUCAUUUUAUGUGACAAUUUCCCUCACUUGCAAAAAUUAUGGUAUAUUCUGAAAUAGUGGAGGUAAAAUAUGCAAUCCAGUGUGAAAAUAGGUUAAGCACAGAUGAGAAGGGAAAGCAGAAAUUCAUUGCAAGCUGUAUAGAUAAGGUGACUAUAUAAUUUAUCCUCCAAACCUGGAAACUUCUGAGAGUAGCAGCAGGCACUGUAAAUAAUCAGUACAACAGGCUUAAACUGGAGAUGCU